GGGUGAGUAACGCGUGGGAAUCUACCCAUCCCUACGGGAUAGCUCCGGGAAACUGGAGAUAAUACCGUAUACGUCCUCCGGGAGAAAGAUUUAUCGGGGAUGGAUGAGCCCGCGUUGGAUUAGCUAGUUGGUGGGGUAAUGGCCUACCAAGGCGACGAUCCAUAGCUGGUCUAAGAGGAUGAUCAGCCACAUUGGGACUGAGACACGGCCCAAACUCCUACGGGAGGCAGCAGUGGGGAAUAUUGGACAAUGGGCGCAAGCCUGAUCCAGCCAUGCCGCGUGAGUGAUGAAGGCCCUAGGGUUGUAAAGCUCUUUCAGUGGGGACGAUAAUGACGGUACCCACAGAAGAAGCCCCGGCUAACUUCGUGCCAGCAGCCGCGGUAAUACGAAGGGGGCUAGCGUUGUCCGGAAUUACUGGGCGUAAAGAGUUCGUAGGCGGUUUGUCGCGUCGUUUGUGAAAACCCGGGGCUCAACUUCGGGCUUGCAGGCGAUACGGGCAGACUUGAGUGUUUCAGGGGAGACUGGAAUUCCUGGUGUAGCGGUGAAAUGCGCAGAUAUUGGGAGGAACACCGGUGGCGAAGGCGGGUCUCUGGGAAACAACUGACGCUGAGGAACGAAAGCGUGGGUAGCAAACAGGAUUAGAUACCCUGGUAGUCCACGCCGUAAACGGUGGGCGCUAGGUGUGGGUUCCUUCCACGGAAUCUGUGCCGUAGCUAACGCAUUAAGCGCCCCGCCUGGGGAGUACGGCCGCAAGGCUAAAACUCAAAGGAAUUGACGGGGGCCCGCACAAGCGGCGGAGCAUGUGGAUUAAUUCGAUGCAACGCGAAGAACCUUACCUGGGUUUGACAUACACCGGAAAGCUGUAGAGAUACG
rnacentral:rRNA from 1 species